rnacentral:rRNA from 1 species
CCAAUCGCGUAUAUUAAAGUUGUUGCCGUUAAAACGCUCGUAGUUGAAUUUCGGGAUUGACGUGAUGGUCAUGCCUUAAGGGGUAUGAACUGUCACUGUUGAUUUCUCACCUUCUGGAGAAACUUGAUGUCCUUUAUUGGGUGUCUUGCGGAUCCAGGACCUUUACCUUGAAAAAAUUAGAGUGUUUAAAGCAGGCAUUUUUUGCUCGAAUACAUUAGCAUGGAAUAAUAGAAUAGGACGGCAUGGUUCUAUUUUGUUGGUUUCUAGGAUCACCGUAAUGAUUAAUAGGGAUAGUUGGGGGCAUUAGUAUUCAAUUGUCAGAGGUGAAAUUCUUGGAUUUAUUGAAGACUAACUACUGCGAAAGCAUUUGCCAAGGAUGUUUUCAUUAAUCAAGAACGAAAGUUAGGGGAUCGAAGACGAUCAGAUACCGUCGUAGUCUUAACCAUAAACUAUGCCGACUAGGAAUCAGACGAUGUUAAUUUUUUAAUGACUCGUUUGGCACCUUACG